rnacentral:rRNA from 1 species
AUUGAACGCUGGCGGCAGGCUUAACACAUGCAAGUCGAGCGGAGAUGAGGUGCUUGCACCUUAUCUUAGCGGCGGACGGGUGAGUAAUGCUUAGGAAUCUGCCUAUUAGUGGGGGACAACAUUCCGAAAGGAAUGCUAAUACCGCAUACGUCCUACGGGAGAAAGCAGGGGAUCUUCGGACCUUGUGCUAAUAGGUGAGCCUAAGUCGGAUUAGCUAGUUGGUGGGGUAAAGGCCUACCAAGGCGACGAUCUGUAGCGGGUCUGAGAGGAUGAUCCGCCACACUGGGACUGAGACACGGCCCAGACUCGUACGGGAGGCAGCAGUGGGGAAUAUUGGACAAUGGGGGGAACCCUGAUCCAGCCAUGCCGCGUGUGUGAAGAAGGCCUUAUGGUUGUAAAGCACUUUAAGCGAGGAGGAGGCUACUGAGACUAAUACUCUUGGAUAGUGGACGUUACUCGCAGAAUAAGCACCGGCUAACUCUGUGCCAGCCGCCGCAGUAAUAC